ACCCCGGUAUUAUUGCUGUUAUGGGUUUGAAUCGAGCUUAGCCUUGUUCAUUUUUUUACACAACACCCCCGUAAAAAAUACAACACGGCCCGCUUUAGCCUGCGAUUCCUCAGCCGCGCAAACCCAAAAAAACGCCGCAAAAAGCCCCAAAAAAGGCCACGCGGCGCUUUUUCAGGGCAA
rnacentral:sRNA from 1 species